rnacentral:lncRNA from 1 species
AGAUCGAAUCAAUUAUGCAUCAAUCCCUUACAAUCUUUGAGUUUGAUUAUCCCAUUGGAGCUCCAUUGUUAUUGCUUCUAAUUGCAUACAACUAUUCCUAAUUAUGUCAACUAGUAGACCCGACCAAACCUAGUUGUUCAUCUCUCAUUCGUGCAAGGCUAAGCUUUUUUCGACGACUUGGCUUGAACAUUGUUAUACCAUCGACUAUCGGGAUUACGACCUCUAAUGAAUGUCCUUAUCAAUACCUUUUGUGUUUUACCUUGUACCCAAUUUUUUAAUCGUUCGAAUUCUUUUUGAUAGUCACCUAACAAGGCCAUUGUCUAAUAUUAGAAAAAGCUUCAUCAA